rnacentral:lncRNA from 10 species
UUUUGUUUUGUUUUGUUUUUAUACUUCAUCACAUAAUUUAUAAUGAUCAGGUAGAAUUUCAUUAUUAUUAACAUACCAUUUUUCAUUUAACCAUUUCUCAGCUAAAGGGCAUUUGGAUUUCUUUUCCUUUUCUUUUCUUUGGUGAUGAUGAAUAGUACAAUAAACAUUUUUAUAUGGAUCGUCUUUUUGUUUUGGAUUAUGUCAGUGGAACAUAUACACAAAGUGGAUUUAUCCUAUAAAAAGAUUUAAAAAGGACUAGGCACAGUGGCUCACGCCUGUAAUCUCAGCACUUUGGGAGGCUGAGGCGGGUGGAUCAUUUGAGCCCAGGAGUUUGAGACCAGCCUGGGCAAUAUAAGGAAACCUUGUCUUAGAGAAAAUAAAAAUAAAUUAGCCAGGCAUGCUGGCACAUGCCUGUGGUCUCAGCUACUCAGGAGGAUGUGGUGAGAGGAUUGCUUGAGCCCAGGAGGUGGAGGCUGCAGUGAGCUGUGAUUGCGCCACUGCACUCCAGCCUCGGUUACAGAGUGAGACCCUAGCUCUAAAAAUAUAUAAAUAUCUUAAAAAUAUAAAGAAGCAGCCAAAGGAGAGGAAGUUAAGAGGAGUAAGUCAGAACAUAGUCUAUGUGGCCAGCAGCCUGCCUGGUUUGAAAGGCAGCUGCUCCCACUCACUAGUCACAAACCUUGAGCAAGUUUCUUAACUUCUGCACCUCAUUUUCUCAUCUGUAAAGUGGGCAUAAGAAUAGUAAGCCUGGCCAGGCGCGGUGGCCACGCCUAUAAACCCAGCACUUCGGGAGGCCAAGGCAGGUAGAUCACGAGGCUGGUCUCAAACUCCUGACCUCAAGUGAUCUGCCCUCCUCAGCCUCGUAAAGUGCUGGGAUUACAGGGGUGAGCCGCUGUGCCUGGCUGGCCCUGUGAUAUUUCUGUGAAAUAAAUUGGGCCAGGGUGGGAGCAGGGAAAGAAAAGGAAAAUAGUAGCAAGAGCUGCAAAGCAGGCAGGAAGGGAGGAGGAGAGCCAGGUGAGCAGUGGAGAGAAGGGGGGCCCUGCACAAGGAAACAGGGAAGAGCCAUCGAAGUUUCAGUCGGUGAGCCUUGGGCACCUCACCCAUGUCACAUCCUGUCUCCUGCAAUUGGAAUUCCACCUUGUCCAGCCCUCCCCAGUUAAAGUGGGGAAGACAGACUUUAGGAUCACGUGUGUGACUAAUAC